UCUCUGACAAAUUAUUUUGAGAGAAAGUUGACCAUUUCCGUCUCGUGCUUUUAUCUUAGCGUCGUUAAUUUCUCAUUAUUUGUUAAUAAUAUAAUUUUGCGUCUGUCAUAAUCUGAGCAUCUAAAACAAGUCGUGGAUGUGGCUUUCAAACACAACAUUUUUCAAGAUCUAGAAAAAGUCGUACAAAAUUAAAGCGAGGAGGAAACCACAAUAAAAUGUCCCAGACAAUUCAUGAACAAGCUGGAUAAGCUUUUCAUCAGGGAAAUUGAUCUCGGAAAUGUGGACAAUGCUUGUCUGGUGCUUACUGUUUAACAAAAAUAUGGUGAGAUGCUUGUGUUUCCAGGUGGUGGAGGAAUAUCUGUAAUGAUUGCCCAGGGAUUUGUCAAAAAGA